rnacentral:lncRNA from 1 species
GAUUCGCUGUUUGUUCUCUUUCACACCCAAACGUUGUCACUGCCGCCUGUGAACGAAAGGGCUGUGUCUCCAGGGGCCGUGGCCUCAGUGCCCCAGACAAAGCCGGGCUGGCGGUGAUGAGGGGUUGGGGGAGUUGGUUAGGGGUAGUGGCCGGGGACCCCAUAGCCACCCUCUCGGAGGUCGGGGGUGAGGCCGGGCUCUGAGGCCUCCGGCAGCCAUGGAGCACCCAGGGCCUGGGGCUGGCAGGGCUGGGGGACAACGCAGGAACUGGGAGACCAGCCAGUUCCAGCCGCUCCACAGGGCCACCUGGGCCAUUCCCUGCAUCCAGGAAGGAUCUGGCGGAGCCUGGAAGGAGAAAGGAUCUUCCCAGCGCUUCAGGACCCGGGUAGCACCUCCCUGCUGGGGACUGACUGUCCAUGUGGCCUUCUUACUGGCAAUUCCACAGAUGGCGGAUCGGAACCACUCUGGAUCCUGCCAAUGCCCUGGCAGCUCUUUCUGCACCGAUUUUAAAUGGCCAAACUCUAUUUUUGUUUUGUUCCUUCCAGAUUUUGCUCUCAUCCCAAUCGAAAGAAACAUAAACUUUGUGAACAUUUUAGGACACUCUGUGGCAUACAAACAGAGUUAUUUUAACUGGGGAGCUGGAGCUGCCUUAAAAAAGCUUCUUGUUCCUUGCCUGAAGGCCUGA